CCUACGGGAGGCAGCAGUGAGGAAUAUUGGUCAAUGGGCGCAAGCCUGAACCAGCCAAGUCGCGUGAGGGAAGACGGCCCUACGGGUUGUAAACCUCUUUUGCCGGGGAGCAAGCCUGAGCACGUGUGCCCAGGCGGAGAGUACCCGGAGAAAAAGCAUCGGCUAACUCCGUGCCAGCAGCCGCGGUAAUACGGAGGAUGCGAGCGUUAUCCGGAUUUGUUGGGGUAAAGGGGUGCGCAGGCGGGCUGUUAAGCCGGCGGUAAAAAUUCAGGGAUCAACCCUGUCGAGCCGUCGGAACUGGUCGUCUUGAGUGGGCGAGAGGCAGGCGGAAUGCCUGGUGUAGCGGUGAAAUGCAUAGAUAUCACGAAGAACGCCGAUUGCGAAGGCAGCAUACCGGCGCCCAACUGACGCUGAGGCACGAAAGCGUGGGGAGCGAACAGGAUUAGAUACCCCUGUAGUC
rnacentral:rRNA from 1 species